rnacentral:rRNA from 1 species
GUAAUGGCAGGUCAGCAUACUGCCGUGAAUACGUUCCCGGGCCCUUGUACACACCGCCCGUCACACCAUGAGAGUUGGGGAUACCCGAAGCCUGUGAGCUAACAGUAAUGGAGCAGCAGUCGAAGGUAGAAUCAAUGAUUGGGGUGAAGUCGUAACAAGGUAAC